rnacentral:misc_RNA from 1 species
UGGUAGAGCGCGACCGGCCCGCCGGUCGACGCGACACCCCCUGUGUACCCACCCGGUUGCUUCGGCGGGACUGCCCCAUGCGGCCGCUGCCCCCGGGCGGCGCGCGCCCGCCGGAAGACCCCAAACCCUGGCUUUUGCGGUGACGUCCGAGCCACAUGACAAAUAGUCA